GGCCCAAGCUGAGUUGAGGUUGAAUGCAGAAAAAUGGCGCAAUACAAAUACAAUUGAUCCCACUGUCAGAGGUCUCUUCUUUCUAAUUUUGGUUGGCCAUGGAGGCUCGUUUUAGAGGAUCGUUUAUCUCCCCUACCUUGCUAAUCUUCUUCUUCCUGGUUGCACCUUCCCGAGUAGAAUUGUCAAAUGUAUCAUCACUUCAUGGAGAGCCGAAAGGUCUUUUCCCCUCAUAUGAUUGUCCGCAAUGCAUUAAUAGAAAGGAACAUGGUCGAAAUAGUGCUGCUCGUCCUGAUAAGAAAAAUAUUGACAUCCUUGUAACAUAUACUGAUGUUAAUGGUGCUGUUAGAACUAGGAGCAUAAACUCCAAGGACUUGUCAACUUCAUGGGUAUGGAGGUAUCCUAGUGAUGAGGAUGGUGAUCACAAGAAGAGUUCCAAGGAAGUGGAAGGGAAGUCUCAGAAACCGGAUAAGCUUGAGGGCACUAUUGAUCACUCUUAUGGAAAUGCAAAUCAGUAUGGAGUUGUUAUGGAGCAUAAAUUAGCAUCUGAGCUACAUCCAAUCAAACUCAAGCGCCAGAGGCUAAGAAACGAUAUAAGGGAACGACGGACUGCAGAGCUGAUCCAACAAGAUAAGGAAAUUGAAAACCAAAUUCAAGACGCUGCUAUUGAGCGAGCCAAAGAGCUUGACACAACUAGCAAGGGUAUAUACAAUAUAUGGAGGAAAGAAUAUGAAAACCCUAAUUCUGACUCUACCCUUAAACUUAUGCGUGACCAAAUCAUCAUGGCAAGAGCGUAUGCUACCAUUGCAAAAGUUAAGAAUGAAGAUUCUCUGUAUGAUUCUUUGAUAAAUCAUUCUAGAGAAAGCCAGCUUGCAAUUGGAGAAGCCACUGCUGAUUCUGAACUUCAACCAAGUGCACUUGACCGAGCAAAGGAUAUGGGCCAUGUUUUAGCUGCUGCAAAGGAUCAACUAUACGAUUGCAUGACACUAGCAAGGAAACUAAGAGUCAUGCUUCAGUCGGCCGAAACUGGUCUAAAUAUGCUGAAGAAAAGGAGUGCAUUCUUGAUACAGUUGGCUGCUAAAACUGUUCCCAGGCCUUUGCAUUGUCUUCCUUUGCUUCUCACGACAGACUUCUUUAUACGUCGAUAUGAAGAGAGAGAAUUUCCAAACAAGGAAAAGCUUGAAGAUCCUUCUCUGUUCCAUUAUGCAAUAUUUUCUGAUAAUGUACUUGCCACAUCUGUUGUUGUAAACUCUACUAUACUGCAUGCGAAGGAGCCUGAAAAGCACGUUUUCCAUAUAGUGACAGAUAAAUUGAACUUCCCAGCUAUGAAAAUGUGGUUCCUUGUUAAUCCUCCUGCUGCUGCAACAAUUCACGUUGAGAAUGUCGAUGACUUUACAUGGCUCAAUUCUACUUACUGCCCUGUACUACGUCAGCUUGAAUCUGCUAGAAUGAUAGAGUAUUAUUUCAAGGCACAUCAGUCAAACUCCCUUACAUCUGGCACCGACAAUCUUAAAUAUAGGAACCCAAAGUAUUUGUCAAUGCUGAAUCAUCUUAGGUUUUACCUUCCUGAAGUAUAUCCAAAGCUGGAGAAAAUCUUAUUUCUGGAUGAUGAUAUUGUAGUUCAAAAGGAUCUGACACCUCUUUGGUCUGUCAACUUACAAGGGAUGGUCAAUGGUGCCGUGGAGACAUGCAAAGAAAGCUUCCAUAGAUUUGAUAAAUAUCUUAACUUUUCUAACCCGAAGAUAUCUGAAAACUUUGAUCCAAAUGCCUGUGGAUGGGCUUUUGGCAUGAAUAUCUUUGAUUUGAAGGAGUGGAGGAGGCGCAACAUUACAGGAAUAUAUCAUUAUUGGCAAGAAAGGAAUGAGGAUAGAACACUUUGGAAACUUGGAACCUUACCUCCAGGGUUAAUAACUUUCUAUAACUUGACUCAUCCCUUGGAUCGGAGCUGGCAUGUCUUGGGUCUUGGCUAUGAUCCUGCCUUGAAUAAAACAGAAAUACAAAAUGGGGCAGUUGUUCACUACAAUGGAAAUUACAAACCAUGGUUGGAUCUUGCAAUUGCCAAGUACAAAGCUUAUUGGUCUAGAUAUGUAAUGUUCAAUAAUUCAUACCUUCAACUUUGUAACAUCAAGG
rnacentral:misc_RNA from 1 species